rnacentral:rRNA from 1 species
AACGAACGCUGGCGGCAGGCCUAACACAUGCAAGUCGAGCGAGACCUUCGGGUCUAGCGGCGGACGGGUGAGUAACGCGUGGGAAUAUGCCCUUUGGUGCGGAAUAGCCUCGGGAAACUGAGAGUCAUACCGUAUGUGCCCUUCGGGGGAAAGAUUUAUCGCCAACGGAUUAGCCCGCGUUGGAUUAGGUAGUUGGUGGGGUAAUGGCCUACCAAGCCUACGAUCCAUAGCUGGUUUGAGAGGAUGAUCAGCCACACUGGGACUGAGACACGGCCCAGACUCCUACGGGAGGCAGCAGUGGGGAAUCUUAGACAAUGGGGGAAGCCCUGAUCUAGCCAUGCCGCGUGAGUGAUGAAGGCCUUAGGGUUGUAAAGCUCUUUCAGCUGGGAAGAUAAUGACGGUACCAGCAGAAGAAGCCCCGGCUAACUCCGUGCCAGCCGCCGCUGUAA